rnacentral:lncRNA from 7 species
GAGGCUUGCCUGCUGUGACCUGUUGGCUUCAUGGGCCGAUGGGCUUUUUUUAUUUCGGUAAAAUUCCGAGAAAAAAAUCGGUAAAUUCCGAUUAAAAUCGGUAACCGAACAAAACGGUCGGUAAAAUGACAUACCGAUUUCGAUACCGUUUCUGAUAAAAAAUUCCGAUACCGAUUCCGUUUCCGAAUAAUACCGUUACCGGUGAAUUUGAUCGAAAAAAAUCGAAAACGGUUUUCGGAAUUCCGAAAAAUUCCGAAACCGUUUUCAUCCCUAGUAAACAUCGUUAAACCAGGUGUCACAAGUUGCUAGAAAUUGAGGGGCAAUUGUUUGAGAGUAACCGUGCUGGAGAGUGGGAGAAAUAAUCGAAUGGGGUGGGAGGAAAUAAACAGCGUCGCCGCACAGCCACAAGCCAAAAAGAGGCGGCGACCCCACAAAACGUGAGCGCCCUCGCCGACGCGCGCCACGCCGGAUGCCCCGGCGCCAAUCCGCGGCACCCACCUCACUUCCCCCUUAUCCCCCGCCUCGGCCUCACCCACUCGUGCGCCGCGGCCUUAUCCCAAAGUUGCAUUGCAUCCAUCGUGCCUGAUCUCCCUCCCAAUAAGCACGUCUGUUUCUCCCCAGCUCCAAGCCGGACGACGCA